UUUUCAGACGGGUCGUUUAAAGCCAUUAUGUCAACAUCCUAAGCUCGGACGUGGGCGAACCCCGGCCAUAAAGGCGAGCUGCGUUCCUCAGUCCGGACCAGUGUAUGCAACAAGAGGCUAUAACACACCCGAGGGUGCCACCUUCCUCUCAUCUUUAUCCACCGAUCCAAACUGAUGUUGACCCGUUCAAAGGAAAUACACUGGCAGAACCAGCUGAAUCCAAUGAACACGACUGACUUCAAUCGUUUCCCUUUUAACAAUUUCACAUACUGUUUAACUCUCUUUCCAAAGUGCUUUUCAUCUUUCCCUCACGGUACUUGUUCGCUAUCGGUCUCUCGCCAAUAUUUAGCUUUAGAUGGAAUUUACCACCCAUUUUGAGCUGCAUUCCCAAACAACUCGACUCGUUGAAAACGUAUCACAGAGCACCGGGGGUCGUGUCAAGUACGGGAUUGUCACCCUCUUUGAUACCCUGUUCCAAGGGACUUGGACACGGUCCGGCACGGAAAACGCUUCUAUAGAUUACAACUCGGACGCGCGGAGCACGCCAGAUUACAAAUUUGAGCUCUUCCCGGUUCACUCGCCGUUACUAGGGGAAUCCUUGUUAGUUUCUUUUCCUCCGUAAUG
rnacentral:rRNA from 1 species